rnacentral:sRNA from 1 species
AAAGAAUUAGCAACGGAAUAUUGAAUGUUUUGGUAGUUUCAAAUGUAAUGACGAGCAAAACAUUCACCAGCAAACAUACCUAUACUUGGAACAUUUAAUCAUUGUCCUUGUUGUUUUAGUUGGACUUACAAGGGAAUCGCAUCGCAGAUGAUGAACUCAACAGGCUGUUUCAAUGCACGUCCAUGAGAAAUUAAUAAUUUGGAAUAUAUGUACAUACAUGUAAUAAUUACAGAAAAUAAUUUUCUCAUGACUAGAAAUUUUUGUAAUUGAUGUGAAUUGCCUAGUUAAUUAUACGUGUGCGCAAUGAUGUCAUA